UACAUUAUUGUUAUUUUGUUGUUGAUGUGUUAGGCACGUGGUUGAAAACAGCCAAUCACCAGUUUUCUUCUGCCAUAAUGACGUACAACCAGGAAACUUGUUGGUGAAAGCAAAUGAAGAUCUCGAUGAGGCAAAAAUACGUGUGAAAAAAAAGAGAGAAGGAUAAUUUUCGUUUAAACCGCAAAUGAGGAAGGAAGAAAGGAGACAUUUAGUUCUAUAUCUGGAAUAUUAUUUCAUCUUUGCGCUGCGUAGAGUUGUCAAAUAUUAUGAUAGCAAGGGU